AAAUAAAAAACUGGCACAUUGACAUGAAGCUACAAUAGAAGCUGACAGGUUGAAGCCACAAUAGAAGCUGACAGGUUGAAGCUACAAUAGAAGCUGACAGGUUGAAGCUACAAUAGAAGCUGACAGGUUGAAGCUACAAUAGAAGCUGACAGGUUGAAGCUACAAUAGAAGCUGACAGGUUGAAGCUACAAUAGAAGCUGACAGGUUGAAGCUACAAUAGAAGCUGACAGGUUGAAGCUACAAUAGAAGCUGACAGGUUGAAGCUACAAUAGAAGCUGACAGGUUGAAGCUACAAUAGAAGCUGACAGGUUGAAGC